GACGAACGCUGGCGGCGUGCUUAACACAUGCAAGUCGAACGGUAAGGCUCCAGCUUGCUGGGGUACACGAGUGGCGAACGGGUGAGUAACACGUGGGUGACCUGCCCUGCACUUCGGGAUAAGCCUGGGGAACUGGGUCUAAUACCGGAUAGGACCGCACCGUGAGGGUGUGGUGGAAAGUUUUUUCGGUGUGGGAUGGGCCCGCGGCCUAUCAGCUUGUUGGUGGGGUAAUGGCCUACCAAGGCGGCGACGGGUAGCCGGCCUGAGAGGGUGGACGGCCACAUUGGGACUGAGACACGGCCCAGACUCCUACGGGAGGCAGCAGUGGGGAAUAUUGCACAAUGGGCGGAAGCCUGAUGCAGCAACGCCGCGUGGGGGAUGACGGCCUUCGGGUUGUAAACUCCUUUCACCAUCGACGAAGGGUUUCUGACGGUAGAUGGAGAAGAAGCACCGGCUAACUACGUGCCAGCAGCCGCGGUAAUACGUAGGGUGCGAGCGUUGUCCGGAAUUACUGGGCGUAAAGAGCUCGUAGGUGGUUUGUCGCGUCGUCUGUGAAUUCCGGGGCUUAACUCCGGGCGUGCAGGCGAUACGGGCAUAACUUGAGUACUGUAGGGGAGACUGGAAUUCCUGGUGUAGCGGUGAAAUGCGCAGAUAUCAGGAGGAACACCGGUGGCGAAGGCGGGUCUCUGGGCAGUAACUGACGCUGAGGAGCGAAAGCAUGGGGAGCGAACAGGAUUAGAUACCCUGGUAGUCCAUGCCGUAAACGGUGGGCGCUAGGUGUGGGUUUCCUUCCACGGGAUCCGUGCCGUAGCUAACGCAUUAAGCGCCCCGCCUGGGGAGUACGGCCGCAAGGCUAAAACUCAAAGGAAUUGACGGGGGCCCGCACAAGCGGCGGAGCAUGUGGAUUAAUUCGAUGCAACGCGAAGAACCUUACCUGGGCUUGACAUAUACAGGAUCGCGCCAGAGAUGGUGUUUCCCUUGUGGCUUGUAUACAGGUGGUGCAUGGUUGUCGUCAGCUCGUGUCGUGAGAUGUUGGGUUAAGUCCCGCAACGAGCGCAACCCUUGUCUUAUGUUGCCAGCACGUUGUGGUGGGGACUCGUAAGAAACUGCCGGGGUUAACUCGGAGGAAGGUGGGGAUGACGUCAAAUCAUCAUGCCCCUUAUGUCCAGGGCUUCACACAUGCUACAAUGGUCGGUACAGUGGGUUGCCAGUCCGUGAGGGCGAGCUAAUCCCGCAAAGCCGGUCUCAGUUCGGAUCGGGGUCUGCAACUCGACCCCGUGAAGUCGGAGUCGCUAGUAAUCGCAGAUCAGCAACGCUGCGGUGAAUACGUUCCCGGGCCU
rnacentral:rRNA from 1 species